GCGGUUCAGCUGAGAAGCGAACAGAUGAGGGCACCCAAGAAGUGUUACAGAGUCUUUCCAUGGAAUCUGCAGAGCCUGGUUCACCUCCACCGCCACGACCACUUCAGCCACAGGUGCUGGUCUGUGAAGACACACCACUCAGGACCUUACAGGAGAUGAACAACAGCAGCGGGUCGGAGGAAGAUUCCCAAAAAGCCGUAAGCACCAAUGCACAGCAUAACUUAGCAUCUCGCUAAAU